rnacentral:ribozyme from 1 species
AAAAAAAAAAAAAAAAUAAACUAAAAAAGGGUUUUAUUGAACCUUAAUAAUAUUCUCUUCUUACAUUUUUUUUUUAGUUCUUAUUUGUUCAUUGUUACUUUGCUUCACUAUAAGAUAUAAUGCAAAAAGAUGUGAAAGAACGCGGGAAAAUAAAAUAAAAUAAAAAC